rnacentral:rRNA from 1 species
AGUGAACGCUGGCGGCAGGCCUAACACAUGCAAGUCAAGCGGCAGCGCGGGGGCAACCCUGGCGGCGAGCGGCGGACGGGUGAGGAAUUCGUCGGAAUCUGCCUUUUUGUGGGGGAUAACGUAGGGAAACUUACGCUAAUACCGCAUACGUCCUACGGGAGAAAGUGGGGGACCGCAAGGCCUCACGCAGAAAGAUGAGCCGACGACCGAUUAGCUAGUUGGUGGGGUAAAGGCCCACCAAGGCGACGAUCGGUAGCUGGUCUGAGAGGAUGAUCAGCCACACUGGGACUGAGACACGGCCCAGACUCCUACGGGAGGCAGCAGUGGGGAAUAUUGGACAAUGGGCGCAAGCCUGAUCCAGCCAUGCCGCGUGUGUGAAGAAGGCCUUCGGGUUGUAAAGCACUUUUGUCCGGAAAGAAAUCCCUGGAGCUAAUACCUUCGGGGGAUGACGGUACCGGAAGAAUAAGCACCGGCUAACUUCGUG